rnacentral:rRNA from 1 species
UACGUAGGGUGCGAGCGUUAAUCGGAAUUACUGGGCGUAAAGCGUGCGCAGGCGGUCUGUUAAGACCGAUGUGAAAGCCCCGGGCUUAACCUGGGAAUUGCGAUGGAGACUGCAAGGCUUGAAUCUGGCAGAGGGGGGUAGAAUUCCACGUGUAGCAGUGAAAUGCGUAGAGAUGUGGAGGAACACCGAUGGCGAAGGCAGCCCCCUGGGUCAAGAUUGACGCUCAUGCACGAAAGCGUGGGGAGCAAACAGG